rnacentral:lncRNA from 1 species
UUAGAAUUUAAAAUAUCUUUCAAAAGUAAUUGAAUCAUAACCAAAUUAUUGUAUAACAUGGAAAAAUUGGAAGCUAAAAGACAGGACUUACGGUGUAGGCAGAGGAUUGGUAGGUGGACCUUCGGAACCACUGAGAAUCUCAAGAUCCGGAUCAGGGUUGUCGGGGCUCGAUUUAACCCCCAAUAUAAAACCUAAAAUUAGGAAGGUAAUAAAUAGAAAUGCGAUCAGUAGGCCUCCGCCUCUCAUCUGAAGAUUUCAACUGAUUUCGUCUAUCAAGUUGAAAAGAAUGUACUAAUCCAAAAGAAAUCAGGUGCGAAUUUUGUAAUGAUAAAUAGACUUUCUGAUGUUGUGAAUAAAAAUUGAUUCUUUGUAGGGUUUUCGAAUCAUGCGUAGAACGACUUCGUGAGCCGCGUUGAAUUGAAGGAUCAGGAUUUUGUUUUCCAAGAAAUGUGUUAACGGAUUAAGUCCCACGACUUCGUCUUGGUCUGACGAACGACUUUGGAAAAUGAAGGGGGAACAACGGCAAACGGAAAUGGUUUAUUUUUUAAAAAC